CCUUCAAACCCUUCCCAUUUAUCUUGAAAGAUUCUCCUAUUUCUUUCUUUCCACAAUUCCCAAUAACAAUGGAAGCGCGAGACUUCUCAAUAACAAUGGAAGGCGAGACGGUCCAUACACUGAGAACAGAUUUGUUCUUCUCCGAAAACCAACUCUUAAGAAUAGGCACCUGCUUUACCAUGUCCUGUGACUGGCAGCUACAUAUGGUGCGUAUGGGGUCGCUCAGUUCUUGUAACUACGAAGUGCAUUGCGUGAUUCAAACAAUCUCAUCCAUUGCGCAUUGCGCAUUUCGCAGUGCUGUGUAGAAAGCUUUCUUUGAAGGAUGAGCUGCAUGAUUUGUUUACGACACAGCUCUCCUGUAGACUUCUACACACCUUCGACUGUUGCAGAUUGCAUUGGAAAGAAUUCUCUUUCAGAGGGUAAGCGAAUUAACUAUUUUAUGGAAUAUGAUAAUAGGAGCAGACGGAGGAAAUGGGUUUCGUCAAGAGGCAUUGGCAUUGUUUCACCAAAUGUAGAGAACAGGUGUGUAACCCAAUCAUUUAACCUCUGCCGGCAUCUUCCCAGUUUAAGCCUAAGUAGGAGCUUUGGAACAGGGUCCGGCGAUCGAUCAAUGCAUAACCAGAAGUGGGCUUGCUUCAGAUAUUGUAGUCCAUGGUGUUUUGAUGGACGUGCUUGCAAAAUGUGAAAGCAUCCAGAAAGCUCGCAAGUUGUUUGAUAGAAUACCUCAACGAGAGUUAUUGCAGAAUAUUCACAGCAUAUGCUAUAAACGGGUUUGCAACCAGAUCAGUGCACCUUCGUCAGCAUCGUUCCAGCGUGUGCGAAAAUGAAAGCUUUGGCAAGGGAAUGGACAUCCAUCAUAGCAUAAGGAAAGCUGGAUAUUUGUCCAAUUGUAUAAUUCAGAGUACACUGAUAGACAUGGAUGCAAAAUGUGAAAGUAUAAAAAAGGCCCGCCAACUGUUUGACACAAUGUGUAAUCGAGACGCGGUCUCAUGGACUGCCACGAUUUCAGGAUAUGCAAUGCACGACUAUGGCAAGGAUACCCUCAAACUCUUUGAACUAAUGAUGCACUCUGGAAUUCAACCCGAUCAAGCAAGCUUUGUCUGUGUUUUAUUUGUUUGCAGCCAUGAAUGUUUGCUGGAUGAGGGCUGUAAAUAAUUCAAUUUCAUGAGUGACUCCUAUUGCAUCGUGCCUAAAACAGAUCAUUAUAUAUUAUGGUUGACCUCCGUGUACGUGCUGGCUAUCUCGAGGAAGCCUUGAACUUUAUUAUCAAAGCGCCGAUCAAACUUGAUUAAGUUGCCUGGAUUUCUUUGCUUGGUUUUUGUAGAUUAGAUAAGAAUAUUGGGUUUGGAGAGUUUACAGCAACUCUACUUUUUGAAACCCUGUAAAUACUGCAGCUUUAAAUCUUAUUUCAAAAGUAUAAGCAGAAGUGGGUAGGCGUGGCGACUUUCAAAAGGUAAGGAGAUUGGUGAAAGAUAAAGAGGAGUUAAAAAGACACCUGGAUGCAGCUGGGUUGAAAUUGAUAAAAUAGUAUACGUGUUUCUUGCAAGAGACAGAUCACACCCACAAACACAGGAGAUCUACGCAACGUUGCAGGAAUUGUCUCUGUAAAUGAAGGUAGCAGGGUAUAUGAUAGAUCCAAGAUAUGUGCAGAGUGAUGUGGAGAAGGAGAAAGAUUUUCUCCACUACCACCAUAGUACGAAGCUGGCAAUCGCAUUUGGGCUGUUAAACACGUCCCUUCAAACAACCAGUAGAGUUGUCAAGAACCUUCAAUUAUUUGAUGAUUGCCACACUGCAAUCAAACUACUCUCCAGGAUAGUUGCAACAGAAAUUAUUGUGAGAGAUGCACACAGGUUCCAUCAUUUCAAAAUUGGAGAUGACGUUAAGUGAAGAAAGCUAUGAACAGAGGCUUGACCUAUAACAAGGUGAUUGCUAAAGACUCGUGGCGUAAAGAGGAGACCAACCUUGAGAGGAAGGAGUCAAGGGAACCUUUGUCACAGUGCAUUGAGCAUUACCCAAGUGAUCUAGUAUCGCUCAUUGUAAGAGCAGUACUAGUCCAUUGUUGGACUGCAGAGCAUGCAACAUUCUAUGGUGGGAGGGAUGUCUUUGGAACCAUGGCUUAUUGGUCAAUUUCCAUUCAACUCUUAUUCAAUAAAAAUCCCUGAGAAUCUCAUUCUCUUGGCCAGCUUGCCUUGUAGUUGUUGCCAUUGUGAUACUUGCAAUCUAUUGAUAUACAAGUGGCUCAUCCCUAUCAAGCAAUUUCUUUGCACCUUCGUCUGCCCUUUUCCUCUCUUCAGCUUGAUUCAUCUACAGAUCACGUUAUUGUUUAUGAUUGAAAGCAACCAGUAAUGGGUGGGAGCUUGAGAUUUUCAAGAUUUUACCAUCUACUCUUACCCUACAUAUCAGAAAUUGUUUGAUCAUCUCAAUGAAACAUAUUGUAACCAUUUCAAAUCUCCCUGCAAAGUUCUUGGUUCUGCUUUCAGAUCAACUAUUCUUUCCUUGUUCAUCUCAGCUUCCUCCAUCUUUCUUGGCUUCAGCUUAGCCCCUGCAAUUAUUGCAGCUCUAGUGUGAAUCUCAAAAGAUUUCUGUAAGGACUUCACUACCUACUAGCGAAUUAUGUUUUUAAUUGGUUGGGUUAGUUUGGACACCAGAUCUUCUACCAGAGCCUUUUUUCCUUUCUAUUUUUAACCAGAUGGUUAAGAACCAAUAUUGUUCUGAUUGUUGUGAAUGUCUCAGAGCUAAAGCAAGGAGAAAAUGUUUCAGGUGCAGAUCGGAAACCUCCUUUGCAGAGUCCUCUUCUCAAUUCUGGUCUCCUUAGUACAUCAGAAGACAGCUGAUAAAUGAAAAAUGAAAUGGAGUGGGGAGGAAGACAGGCCUUGUAAAGGCAGAUAGUAUCAUAUCUGAUAUCUCCUUCUUACAAGGCACAUUAAUCAUUCCAAUGGGAAGGCAGUCGCAUCGAAAUCCACCAUAUGUUAUUGCUUCCGAAGUAUAGAUUUCAUGAUUAAGAUAGGCGGAGGGGAAAAUACAUAAGCCACUUCAAUUAAUAAAAAAUGUGGAACUUCUCGUUGAGCUCUGGAUGCUGAUAAAUUUCUAGUCUAUUUGAAUUGUCUGCAGGUUGCAUGUAGGGACUUUCCUCACCCACAUUAGCUUUGAAUGAAGUGUCCAACGUUCGUCAUGAGAAAUACUGUGAAAAGUAUUAAUUCAUGGUUGGACUGCGGGGCAUGCUACUGUUUGUGGUAGUGGUUCUUCUGGAACGUGUCAACUCCCAUUCAAUUGAAGUCCAUGGCAGACCCUCAGUCUCCGGGUGACCUUUCCUUGUAGUAGUUGCCAUUGUGAUGCUUAAUCUUUUGAUAUACUAAUAGUUCAUCCCUAUUGUUGAAUUUCUUUCCAUCUUUUUAUGUCCUCUUUCUCUUCAGCUUGAUUUAUUCACAGAAUGUGUUGUGAUUUAUGAUCAAAAGAAACCACAAAUUUUUACCACUAGAUGUGACUAGAAGGCAAUUAAAGUCUGAUAGUUUACAUUCAAUGUGUUAUAUAAUACUUAUCUCCAUACCUACAUCAAUACAUGCCAUCAAACAUAUUAUAAAUUUUAA